CACCGUCUCGAGUCACGGUUGGAGACAGUUGUUCGCUGGCCUAAGCAUCAAUUACAUCAAGGUUGUACCUUCUGUUGCGAUUGGAUUCACGGUUUAUGACGCGAUAAGGUUCAGUUGCGAAUUCCUCCUCGUCAAAAAUCGAACGCAACGGCAUCCGCAUAAUGUAUAGAGCGAGCAGAGCUCGACUUGAUAGUAAACGAGUUAUAGCUAAAAUUCUUUUGAUGAAUAGUGCGAUGAAUGACUGUUGUGUGUAGGUUGUUAAUUUAGGAAUUCAUUGAACGUUGAAUUCAUCAUAAACGAUCACUAAUUAAGUUUUUGGUUUCAAAGAUAUCAAUCUGGAAUUUGUUUUUA